UCUUGCAAAGAGAGCAGUACAUAUAACAGGAGUCUACUGUGUGUGAGAUAAGGGGAAAAUUCAGCUCACUGACUAGAGGUUUUAAUGUACGAACUCUAGGGAAAUAAUAUAUUGACUGUUCCGUGGUGCGCAAGAAAAUUGAAGAACCCUUUGCAGACGGAGUGCUUUGCAAAGGAUUCUGUUUCUCUUAAAACAAAAUCUGUGGCAAGAUGUUUGAAAUCAGCAGGACGCUUAAUGCUGCUUUGUUAAAUAAUGAGAUAAUUAGCACCAUGGAGCCUCAGGUGUCAAAUGGUCCGACAUCCAAUACAAGCAAUGGACCCACUAGCAACAACAGAAACUGUCCUUCUCCCAUGCAAACAGGGGCAACCACAGAUGACAGCAAAACCAACCUCAUCGUCAACUAUUUACCCCAGAAUAUGACCCAAGAGGAAUUCAGGAGUCUCUUCGGGAGCAUUGGUGAAAUAGAAUCCUGCAAACUUGUGAGA
rnacentral:sRNA from 1 species